rnacentral:rRNA from 1 species
GAUGAACGCUGGCGGCAUGGAUAAGUCAUGCAAGUCGAACGGGUUUUGUAGCAAUACAAAAUCAGUGGCAGACGAGGUAGUAACGCGUAGGAACGUACCCCACAGUCAUGAACAACCUAUCGAAAGAUAGGCUAAUACAUGAUAUGUCUUCGGAUGAAAGGUUUACCGCUGUGGGAGCGGCCUGCGUAGCAUCAGUUAGUUGGUAGGGUAAUGGCCUACCAAGACUAUGACGCUUAGGGGAGCUGAGAGGCUGACCCCCACCGAUGGGACUGAGACACGGCCCAUACCCCUACGGGGGGCCGCAGACGAGAAUAUUCCACAAUGGGCGCAAGCCUGAUGGAGUGAUGCCGCGUGAUGGAUGAAGUGCUUCGGUACGUAAACAUCUUUUAUGAGGGACGAAAUUUUGACGGUACCUCAUGAAUAAGGGGCUCCUAACUCUGUG